AAGCCAACAUUGAAAAGGGAGAAGUUGCCGAAGGUCAAACCACUGCCAAGGUGAGACUGCAGGCUGAAGAGAGCCCUGGCUGGAGAGCCCUCCUGAAUGGCAGUGGGGCUCUGAGAUCUGGAGAGCUGGAGAGAAAAUGUAUCUACACCCUUUCUUCACAUUUAUAGGCAACAGAAAGAAAUUCUUCACAGGAAAUGACUUGAAUUUAAUUUGCCAUGGACUUCUUCAGCUGGAUACCAGAAAUCCAUUCGUUCUGUACCAAUCCUGCGCUGAGCACCUGAAAGUGCUGAGGCCCAAUAAUGAGGGCAGAACACUUGGCUUCAGAGAGUACACAGCAUCUGGCAGAGAAAGAAAUAUACCACAAAUGGGGCGUUUCGGAGGUUAAGGAAAAUUCCCUCUCCCCGCACACUGGGGGCACUGAAGAAAUGAAGAACACGAUGCAUCCACUCUGAAGCAGAGAUUCAGAAAAAAGCUAAAGGAGUUGACUUGCUUGAGUGUAUGCCCCUGGGAGGAAGGUGUGUAAGGUUAUGUAAGAUGGAACCAAUUUUAUCCCGUGUGAUGCUAGGAAAAGAAUGGAAAGCCACACCACAGAGGGGUCUAAAUUGAGCGCAUUGCGGUCAGUGUUCAGCCUGAGCUGAGAAAAGAAACCAGGCUCCCCAUGGGGAGGCAGGAACUUUCUCAGUGAUUUUUGAAGUCCAUGUAAAUAAAUAAAUAGCUAACAUUUAUUGAGCACUUGUUAUGUGAGCACUCUUCUAAGAGAUUUGUGUGCAUUGAUUUAUUUUCAUCACAGAACUUGACAGGUG
rnacentral:lncRNA from 10 species